CACGUAGGGUGCGAGCGUUGUCCGGAAUCACUGGGCGUAAAGCGCACGUAGGCGGAUCUUUAAGUCAGGGGUGAAAUCCCGAGGCUCAACCUCGGAACUGCCUUUGAUACUGGGGAUCUCGAGUCCGGGAGAGGUGAGUGGAACUGCGAGUGUAGAGGUGAAAUUCGUAGAUAUUCGCAAGAACACCAGUGGCGAAGGCGGCUCACUGGCCCGGAACUGACGCUGAGGUGCGAAAGCGUGGGGAGCAAACAGG
rnacentral:rRNA from 1 species